ACCGUUUCUCACUGUAUUUCUUAUGUCGUGGUGAAGGUUGCAGAGGUGGAAGGAAGCAGAGGACCGUUCGACCAUACUCCACCGCUGCUCACCGUUCGACCAUACUCUCAGGACAAGCUGCUCACGGAGGUGCCCAAGUACAAGCAGACCAUCUUCUCCGUCCUCCCCUAGGUAACUUCAUCUUCAUCCCACAUCCAAGUAGGUGUUUCGUUUGAACUAAAUCCGAUUCAGUUUCCGGACAACUAGGUCUGUUUUUAUCUGGCGUUGCGGGAGUCUAGAUAGCUCUGCAAUAGUAGACUCAUGACGUGACCACGCAACUCUAGUUCUGCCAGUCCCCAUUGAAAAUUCUGAAUCUUCAUCAGUUCUGCACUGGCUGUUAAUUUAAAUAUUUAAUCCUAUUGCUACACUUAAUUUCUGCAAAUUUAAUGAACUGGACAACUGAAUGCAAAUGUAUUUUAUUUGCACUUGCUCUCAACUGAAUAUUGUACGAAGACAUGAUACAUAAGCAAUCUUUAUCAAUAGCUAAAAAUGUGUAGGCUACAGCUUGUGUGUGAUAGUGUGACUGAUGUGAUGACAAGUAGUGAAGUGCUUGUGUCUAGAUACUAUUAUAUGUGCAACUGUUUAUCUACCUUUCAAAGCACCAGCCCACUUUAUAUUUUUAAUAACUUGUAACUGCUAUGCUGCUCCCUAGGCCAUUAACUCGUCCAGCAAGCAAGGCAAGUAAACCAGGCAACAACCAAGCUGACUAGCACAGUUCCAGUUCCCGUGAGAUCUACUAUGACAAAGAUGACAAGGAGCCAGAAACUUGCAGGUAUACGACUUGUUUGUUUAGUGUGCUGUUUGGUUUUCUAUGGACGUGAAUUGUGCUUUGUAUAGUUUCGUGCCUAGCUAAUGUUUGUAACCUAUUAAUCGAAAUUUACGUCUUCUAGGAUUGCU
rnacentral:lncRNA from 1 species